rnacentral:rRNA from 1 species
GCAUAUCAAUAAGCGGAGGAAAAAGAAAACCAACAGGGAUUGCCCUAGUAACGGCGAGUGAAGCGGCAACAGCUCAAAUUUGAAAUCUGGCUCUCGGGCCCGAGUUGUAAUUUGUAGAGGAUACUUUUGAUGCGGUGCCUUCCGAGUUCCCUGGAACGGGACGCCAUAGAGGGUGAGAGCCCCGUCUGGUUGGAUGCCAAAUCUCUGUAAAGUUCCUUCAACGAGUCGAGUAGUUUGGGAAUGCUGCUCUAAAUGGGAGGUAUAUGUCUUCUAAAGCUAAAUACCGGCCAGAGACCGAUAGCGCACAAGUAGAGUGAUCGAAAGAUGAAAAGCACUUUGAAAAGAGAGUUAAAAAGUACGUGAAAUUGUUGAAAGGGAAGCGUUUAUGACCAGACUUGGGCUUGGUUAAUCAUCUGGGGUUCUCCCCAGUGCACUUUUCCAGUCCAGGCCAGCAUCAGUUUUCCCCGGGGGAUAAAGGCGGCGGGAAUGUGGCUCUCUUCGGGGAGUGUUAUAGCCCACCGUGUAAUACCCUGGGGGGGACUGAGGUUCGCGCAUCUGCAAGGAUGCUGGCGUAAUGGUCAUCAACGACCCGUCUUGAAACACGGACCAAGGAGUCGUCUUCGUAUGCGAGUGUUCGGGUGUCAAACCCCUACGCGUAAUGAAAGUGAACGCAGGUGAGAGCUUCGGCGCAUCAUCGACCGAUCCUGAUGUUCUCGGAUGGAUUUGAGUAAGAGCAUACGGGGCCGGACCCGAAAGAAGGUGAACUAUGCCUGUAUAGGGUGAAGCCAGAGGAAACUCUGGUGGAGGCUCGCAGCGGUUCUGACGUGCAAAUCGAUCGUCAAAUAUGGGCAUGGGGGCGAAAGACUAAUCGAACCUUCUAGUAGCUGGUUUCCGCCGAAG